AAAGAGGCCAGAGACAGUAAGAACUGCUAAUUCUUACCCCCACGGUUAAACUCCG
rnacentral:tRNA from 1 species